CCUGGGCAGUGGAAGGUGACGAGGACUCCAAAGGUUGGGCUGAGAGGUGGGAGACUUUGAGAUGCCCUCGCCCCGCUGAUACUCAAGAAGAAGAAACUGAGGCACAGAGCAGUUAAGUAACUUGAUCAAGGCCACUGCUGGUAAGUUGACAGAAACAGGACUGAAAUGCCAGGUCUGUCUGGCACCAGUUCUCUUUCAUGUCCUUCAGAUUCUAUGGGAUUUAAAACUCCUGUAAACAUACCUAAUCUUUUCUCUGUAUCAUUCUCCCCAACCCAUCUCCACUUAGACUGUGAUGGACUGAAGGGCUUCAUGUACAAUAGGAAACAAUAACAGAUCUAGGAAAGUUUUCCUGUUGGGGUAGAAACCACAUGAUCAAUCAAAAAUGCUAGUUCAGUGAUUUUUUUUUUUUAAACUUUCUUUAGGUCAUGGUCCCCUUUGCGAUACUAAUAAGGCAAAGGACCAUCUCCCUGGAGAAAUGCACAUACAUUUUUGCAUAAACUUUUCAAAGGAGUCACAAGUUCCACCUCUCUCUCCGGUCUCAUCAACUGUCUGUCCAAAGGUCCACAGACACCCUCCUUGCCCCCAAUAUAUACAUUCUGUUAACAGGGCCUAAAAAAAUUAGCUUAUAGUCAGAUUUGAUGAGCUCUCUAGUGGUCUGGGGAAUAGGAGUGGUUCAACAGCAAUAAAGGGGCUAUUUUCCAAAUUGGGUUAUCUCACUAUUAAAGCAAAAAUUAAAGGGAAUAAGGAAGCACCAAGAUGCAGGGGAGAGUGUGUUUCUGAUUCAAUAAAACAUCACUGGGUGCCCUUUCUUCCAAAUUUCUACUAUCUGACAGACAAAAGAAAAAAAAAAAAGAAGCAACACUCCAAUACACUUUUCUUUUUUUUUCCUUUUUUACUUACAUUAAAUAUAUUGGUAAAUCAGCAGUCGCAUUCUGUUACCACGAUUGUUAUGUUGGAAGAGGAAGAAAGGGGAAAAAAGGCAAAUGCUUUCUUAGAAGAAAAAAAAGAGGGACCUCUCCCCCCUCCCAAAAAAAAACUGAUCAGAAGAAAAAAACAUGAGGAGCUAGGAAAUAAAAACUUAGAUCCCCAAGCUCAAAGGAAAGCAAAAGAGCUGGUAGGCAGUAGAAGGAAGGCAGCAGAAAGGCCCAGAAGCUAAGGCCAUUCCUAUUCCUAAGGGGCAGGAGAGGGGAGAAGAAGCCUGGAGAAAUGGUUUCCCAGCCCCAAGGCAAUGAAACAUCCUCACUCCUACUCCACAGGGAAAGCUGCACAGAGAAAGAACUUCAUUUCUAAGAGACUUAAGAGAGCCAUCCUAGUUCUUCCACUUGUAAGGACACACUGGGUGCUGUUGGGGGCUAGUGGGUGCUGGAAAAGGAAAGGGAAACUGUGUGUUUCAGGGCCAUGGGAACUAAGGCUGCCCCUGGGAAAGGAAGGGAAUUGAGGCCUAAGUGGAAAAACCUAAACUGGGUCCUUCAGAAUCUCAGCUUCAUGGAUUUCUCAGCUCCUCUGGGACAGAAAAAAGUCUACAAGCCAAAAGGGCAGAAAGGUUCCAAUCCUAGGUCACUGAGGCCUUUCCUAUCUUACUUUCACUAAUUUUCCCAAAACCCUAGGCUAGAACAAGGAGUUUAGAGUUCUCUCUUGCCUUGAUGGCUUCCCAAAGACAUCCUAAAAUACCUGAUGAGGGAUGUGAAGAGAGGCUAGAGAUUUAGAAAGGACCAAUGGCCUCUGAUGAUAUGAGACAGUUGUGAGGGACCUUCAGUGCCAGUUUGUUCUCUGUCCACAGGAACAGGUAUUAUGAUAUGAGGGGGCCACAAGUAGGUCUCUGUGGUGCUAGCCCCUAGUGGUAUGUGGGUUAAACCACUGGUUGCAUGGGGGAUUGAUACAGGGACAAGUAUGGAGGGACUAAACUAAAGAUACUAACAAAGGAGAAAAGAAAUAGGGCCUGAUGGGAGGUGGGGGACAGAACAGACUGUACAGUGGGAAUAAAGAUCUUACCUAUUUACAGGGAAGUAGAAAAGACAUGGUAAUGGGUGGAUCACAUUGAACAUGAACUCUGGGAAAGGAGAGAAAACUCCUCCCUUUUGCCUGACUCCUCUUCACCCCCUACCAUGACCUGUUGCUGAGACUGCUCUCCAGUUGCUUCAGUUAAUUUCGCAGGAAAGGCAAACCUAUACCCAGAGCUAGAUUGGCAAGAAUAUAGGUUAAGAAUCAGAGUUGGAUGAAGCUAGCAGUGGAGAUUGGGCUUGAGUAGCUGCCACUGGUAGUUUUCUACAGUCUCUCCCAAAACCUCAUAUACACCUUGGAUUCCAUUUAAUUAUAAAGGUGAGAGGGCAGGUAAAUCAAUCAAAACCCCCAUAAAACAAGUAUCCCAACUGAACUACCAUCAAUUAAAGUGCAAACUGCAGGGGGAAAUAGUGGCUGGGGCUGAGGCCAUCCAAAGGCCAGAGAGAAAAAAAAAAUGCAUGUGUAUAAAUCAGAGGAUGGGUAUAAGAAACUGGUCCCUCCUCCAAUUAGAUCACAGCACAGCCAAAGAUGCAGGCAACCAGUGAAGACUCUCUGGAGGAUUCUGGGGUCUGGAGUCUCCCCCAUACGGGGGCGGGGAAGCUACCGAGAGAGGCUGAGUGAGGGAAGCUAGGCCUUGGAAGGGUUCCAGGGCCACAGAAGACACUGCUUUCCUCUUCCACCUCCUCCUCCGCCCAGUUAGCUAACAACAUGACUCCCACUUGGUGCCUGAGAGCUUUUGCCUUCCCAUUCUCACUCCACCUAGAAACACCCUCCACAAGACCAACUCAUGGAUACUGCAGUGUUUUUAAAUAUGAGAAAACCAAAAAGGAAAUGUUUCCUUACUCUCUCCUGCUCUGAGCCUUACUCUUCCCCAGGGCCCUUAUUGGGACUGAACUGGAAACCUCCUUCCUCAGUUCCUGGGUUCACCACUUUCUCCAUCCUGGGGAGAGGAGGAAAAAGGAGAUCAAGAACAGGGAUUGACCAAAAGCAGAAGGGGAAGGGCUGAAGACAAAAAAAAAAAAA